CGCCUUGCCAGCCCGCUCAGAAACUUAAAGGAAUUGACGGGGGCCCGCACAAGCGGUGGAGUAUGUGGUUUAAUUCGAUGCAACGCGAAGAACUUACCUGGUCUUGACAUCCCGGAGACCCUUAGGAAACUAGGGGGUGCUUCCAUCUGGAAGAAUCUGGAGACAGGUGCUGCAUGGCUGUCGUCAGCUCGUGUCGUGAGAUGUUGGGUUAAGUCCCGCAACGAGCGCAACCCUUGCCUUUAGUUGCCAGCAGUUCGGCUGGGCACUCUAAAGGGGCUGCCGGUGUUAAACCGGAGGAAGGUGGGGAUGACGUCAAGUCCUCAUGGCCUUUAUGACCAGGGCUACACACGUACUACAAUGGCCGAUACAAAGGGCAGCGACACUGCGAGGUGAAGCCAAUCCCGUAAAAUCGGUCUCAGUCCGGAUUGGAGUCUGCAACUCGACUCCAUGAAGUUGGAAUCGCUAGUAAUCGUGGAUCAGCAUGCCACGGUGAAUACGUUCCCGGGCCUU
rnacentral:rRNA from 1 species